rnacentral:rRNA from 1 species
GAUGAACGCUGGCGGCGUGCCUAAUACAUGCAAGUCGAGCGAACAGACGAGGAGCUUGCUCCUCUGACGUUAGCGGCGGACGGGUGAGUAACACGUGGAUAACCUACCUAUAAGACUGGGAUAACUUCGGGAAACCGGAGCUAAUACCGGAUAAUAUAUUGAACCGCAUGGUUCAAUAGUGAAAGACGGUUUUGCUGUCACUUAUAGAUGGAUCCGCGCCGCAUUAGCUAGUUGGUAAGGUAACGGCUUACCAAGGCAACGAUGCGUAGCCGACCUGAGAGGGUGAUCGGCCACACUGGAACGGAGACACGGUCCAGACUCCUACGGGAGGCAGCAGUAGGGAAUCUGCCGCAAAGGGCGAAAGCCUGACGGAGCAACGCCGCGUGAGUGAUGAAGGUCUUCGGAUCGUAAAACUCUGUUAUUAGGGAAGAACAAAUGUGUAAGUAACUAUGCACGUCUUGACGGUACCUAAUCAGAAAGCCACGGCUAACUACGUG